rnacentral:rRNA from 1 species
GUCCCAAGGGUUGGGCUGUUCGCCCAUUAAAGCGGUACGCGAGCUGGGUUCAGAACGUCGUGAGACAGUUCGGUCCCUAUCCGUCGUGGGCGUAGGAAAUUUGAGAGGAGCUGUCCUUAGUACGAGAGGACCGGGAUGGACAUACCUCUGGUGUACCAGUUGUCGUGCCAACGGCAUAGCUGGGUAGCUAUGUAUGGACGGGAUAAGUGCUGAAAGCAUCUAAGCAUGAAGCCCCCCUCAAGAUGAGAUUUCCCAACUUCGGUUAUAAGAUCCCUCAAAGAUGAUGAGGUUAAUAGGUUCGAGGUGGAAGCGUGGUGACACGUGGAGCUGACGAAUACUAAUCGAUCGAAGACUUAAUCAAUUU